CCUGUUUAUAUAAUAUUUACAGUUAUACAAUUUACAACUUUAGAAAUAUAUCCUGAAGAAAUGUUGCAUCUUAAUUUCAAAAUUUAUCGUUUACAGUAGAUAAUUUCUCUUCGGUGAUCAUCAUCGAUUGUUCCCUACAGCGAAAUUCGAUAUUUAAUAAAUCCGAUCGUAUUCAAGCUUGGAAAUGUUGAACACGCUCGUAUUUAGUUUCACCUCUGUUUCGCAUAAAUUGUCUCGUGUCCACGCGCGGUACGCGCGAUAAAUCCACGAGUGCCGGCUGACACGCGUCUUUCCCUCUGUCGUAAAGCAAUUAAAGUGACGAGAAUGAUGCAGAGACAUGUGAUACGUCUGCGAGCUAUGGUUUUACAAACUUGAAAAUGUCGGAGCCCCAUUAAAUUCGAAGCAGAUGCAUAUAAAAGAAAUAUGUCCAUUUCAUAAAUUACAUGAUAAUAUAAACCGAAAUUACUGAUCCUUAUGUAAUCGUGAAUUUGAUGGGCCAAAAU